rnacentral:pre_miRNA from 1 species
UUCGUACUCAUCCCGUCCAACAAAAAAUGUCUCAAGUUUGAAAAUUUGGAUGUAUCUAGACAUGACUUGGUGUAUAGAUGCAUUCAAAUUUAAUCAAAAUUGAGACAUACUUUGUUGGACGAAAAAAUACGAU